rnacentral:lncRNA from 1 species
AAACCUCCGACAGCACGCACUAGGUCGUCUGCCUCAAACACUAAUUCCAAAGAAAGUUAAUAAAGAGUUUGUGUUGGGAGGCGUAAUGCCGUAAGCAGUGUAACUGAUCAUAACAAGUGCUUGCUGCCCAUACCUCUGAGGGAAUUUCACCUCUAACUCUUCAGAGUUAGGUUUUUCAGGAGCUGGGUUUUUCAGAGCUGCCCCCUACGAAGGGACAGGCCUGCAUUUUGGGGCUCUGGGGAAUUCAGCUUUACCUGGCCUACAGGUUUGACCCAGGUUGAAUUUAUUUCAAGAGAAAUAUUUAAAAGAAAAUAUGCAAAGAAGGAUUCUUUUGGGAAAUGGGAGGAGAAUGGGGCUGAUUAUCUAGAGCAGCCUAAAUGGAUGUUAAAAUCAGUCUCGCUCAUCCUGGAGGAUAUUGAUGGACUAUUGACAGACUGGUCGUCUUUCCAGUGGAAGGAGCUCUUGCUACUCAAUUGAGGACAGUAGUACAGUUAAUUUUUAAGUCUCCUUAAUCAAUCUUUCCCAUAGUCUGCUCUGCAAUACUGAUGGGAACUAUAUUGCUAUUAUAAUUCAUUUAUCUUUUCAAUACCCAUUUAAGGUAUCAUUAUGCCUGUUUUAUAGAUGGGAGACUGAGGCACUGGUCUUUUGGCUGUGGACCAUUUUACAGUGACUUGAAAAGUUUAGGUGAUUAUUUUAUGUGCCAAGUUUUGAGGGUUUCUAUUGUAAACUGGUUGGAAGUUGCUGUUUUGGAAUGGGCGGCAAAAUGCUUUUUGAGACUAUGGCAGUCAAAAUGAAUACGAGAGAGGGACUGCAAGCUUCGUUGCAUGUGCCACCAGAGUGGAGUUUAAAACCAUGAUUUUAAGGCUUAUAGUGUAGUAUGUGGUUAAAGUUAGAGCACCUCAGAAGAGCAAUCUAAGAAACAGUUGUCUUGAGCAUCUCAAAGGAAAGGCGGAGAACAAAAGUAUGCUUAGCAUCUCUUCCAUACAUGACAUUUUAGACAGCUUUUUCGAGGUCCAAGGCAGAAUCCAGAUCCUCCCUCCUGGAUUAAUACCCAAAGUGUUCUGCUUGGAAAAAUAAAAUUAAAUUAAAUUAAAUUAAAAAAAAAAAAAAGUGUGCUUAACAGAAAAAUGAGUGCUUAAUAGACAUUUUUUUCUCACAUAUACUGAAGUCAGUGACUUCCAUAUUGCAACCUUGAAUCUUAUCUUCUGUUAACUUCAUUGCUUUUAUUCUGUUCUGUAAAUUUGUG